GCCGUCGCCGCCGCAGCGAAGAGGCCAUGUUGUGUGGUGUGUGGGGCGGGGGGAGGAGGAGGAGGGAGUAAAGCCGAGAGAGGAGACGGGAGAGAGACACCACACACACGGCACAAGAUGGCCGGAGAGGCAGCAGCACCCCGAGCUGUCAGGCGUUCCGCCGCGGUCGCGGGGCCCGCGGGCCGGCGGGGAGCUGCGCCCUGGCGGUUCGAAGGCCCGCGCGAGCGGGGCGGCCGCGGCUGAGGUAAGGCGGGCGGCGCGACCGUUUCGGAGCCCGCAGCAGAGGCGCCCGGGGCGGCCGGGCCCGCGACGCCGAAAGCGCCGCUGCGGCAGCGGCAGUGGAGGCUCCCCGGGGCCCGGGCGGCUGGACCCGAUGCGGGCCGGAGACUCUGGCGGGCGGUCCGGCCCUGGACUCGGGUAUGAGCGACAAGGAGGUGCCGGCGGCCGAACUCGGAUCCGGUAACUUACAAGAUUAAAAUUAAUUUGGUUGCUGAUGGUUCUGAACAAAUACAGUUUUUUUAUUUGAGGUAUACCAUUUUGAAGACUGCAACAUUGGAAUUUUAUCCUUGAGGAUAAAGGAAAUCUUUGGGAAAGUCUGUAUUUUAUAUAGCAAAAAUGUGAAUCCCCAGACUGAAUACUCUAAAGGGCCUGUACAAAGUAGUAGACACUGUUGGAAGCAUUUACACCCAGUCAGCUUGAAGAGUCUCAAAUGGACCGUACCACUGAGAAAUCAAGAUGGCAGUCCACUAUGGGGAAUUGAGGAGAAUGGAUUAAUACAAGAGUGCUGUGAUAAUAUGCAACCAAGACAGGGUUCUUUUAACAUGGAUUCCAUGAAAUGAAUGAAGACAUAGGUUUCUUACCCAACAUAAAUGGACAGUGGAUUUGACUUUCCAAAGACUUUUUGUAUCAUUAAAACAAGUACAUUUUUGACAUUUGAAGAAGAAGGAUGGCACAGUAACACAGAUGAGAGUUUGUAUGCCUGGAAUUUUUUGCCAUUUGAUUUGUAUGAUUAUUACCUCGUGGAAUGUUAAUUUUAAUAAAAUUUC